rnacentral:misc_RNA from 1 species
GAUGAAGAACGUAGCGAAAUGCGAUAAGUAAUGUGAAUUGCAGAAUUCAGUGAAUCAUCGAAUCUUUGAACGCACAUUGCGCCCGCCAGCACUCUGGCGGGCAUGCCUGUCCGAGCGUCAUUGCUGCCCUCAAGCACGGCUUGUGUGUUGGGCCUCCGUCCUCCUCCCGGGGGACGGGCCCGAAAGGCAGCGGCGGCACCGCGUCCGGUCCUCGAGCGUAUGGGGCUUCGUCACCCGCUCUUGUAGGCCCGGCCGGCGCUUGCCGACACAUCAAUCUUUUUUCCAGGUUGACCUCGGAUCAGGUAGGGAUACCCGCUGAACUUAAGCAUAUCAAUAAGCGGAGGA